GGGGAGGUAGCUUAGUGGGUAGAGUGCAUGCCUCACCAGGCAUAAGGACCUGGGUUCAAGCCCCAGCACCA
rnacentral:tRNA from 1 species